rnacentral:rRNA from 1 species
ACCACCCUACGGGACGCAGCAGUGAGGAAUAUUGGUCAAUGGGCGGGAGCCUGAACCAGCCAAGUCGCGUGAGGGAAGACGGUCCUACGGAUUGUAAACCUCUUUUGCCGGGGAGCAACGGGGUCCUUGCGAGGGCCCGAUGAGAGUACCCGGGGAAAAAGCAUCGGCUAACUCCGUGCCAGCAGCCGCGGUAAUACGGAGGAUGCGAGCGUUAUCCGGAUUUAUUGGGUUUAAAGGGUGCGUAGGCGGGCUGUUAAGUCAGCGGUCAAAUGGCGGGACUCAACCCCGGCCGGCCGUUGAAACGG